rnacentral:lncRNA from 1 species
UCGGCGACGAGGGCGAGCGCCCCCGGGCUUACCACGAGCACGGGGACCCCGGCGGCCAGCGAGUAGAGGAGCACGGGGGGCACGGCGCUGCUGUCCUCCGGGCCCGGGUAGGGUUUGCGGUAGGCGCUGUCGUGGCAGAAGAAGCCCUGCACGUUCACGGUGAACGUGUCCGUAUACUCGAAGUAGUACGCCAGCAUCACCGUCCCUGCCAUGAUCACCAUCUGGAAAUAGAGCAUGCUGCUGGUAUACCGAUGGCUGCAGCCUGAGCCAGUGACUUUAAGCCUUGGACAUCAAGCAGGCAAACCAGGCAAGAUUUUGACCUUGCUGCAUUACUGCAGCUUCCUGAUGAAUUCACUCACUUCCAAUGACAGCAGAAGGAUUACUCACACUGAUAAAGGAAAUUGGCGGAAGCUACCCAGAAGGGCCACACCUCCAAAAGGUUUUUUUAAGUACAUGAAACAUUGAUGCACGUGCCCCGCCUGGCUUGGAAGUCCAGGACCAAGGUUCCAGCUGUCUGGCUGCAUCCACAUAUGGAGGAAGGCAGAAGGUCAAGCUCCCUGCAUGGGAUGAAGAGACCCCCAACUGUCUCUCUCCACCAUGUGAGGAAACCAGGAAGAAAGCCCUCGCCAGAACCUGGCCACACUGGCACCCUGCUCUUGGACUUUCCAGCCUCCAGAAUGAUGAGAAAUACAUAUUUGAUGUUUAAGCCACCCAGUCUAUGGUAUUCUUGUUAUAGCAGCCUGAACUAAGACAAUGUAAAAGCAUGAAAUAUUUUAUUUCCUUCUGGAUACAGAAUCACAACAGUAGGUCCAAGUUUGGAAUGGGAUUAAUAAUGUUUUCUGACAACCAGUGAGACUAUGGUGUAUAAGUAGAGCAUAACUGCUUCAGUGAGAAUUAUGUUAAGAAGAAAAGGCCUUAAACUAUUGAAUUUAUAGGGAACAUUCAAUUCUCUUUGCUAUAAUGCAAUUUUUGCCCAUAUCUACCUGCUCUGAUUAAUGAUAAGGCUUAUGAAAAGGACAUUUGUAAUGUCACAAAAGCUUCCAUGCAUUUUACAAAGGAUAUCAUUAAUAAUCAAGUUAAAACAACCCCAAAGGAAAAUAUCACAUUUCUUUAAAAGAUUUAGUGAUGC